UACGAAGGGGGCUAGCGUUGCUCGGAAUCACUGGGCGUAAAGCGCACGUAGGCGGAUUGUUAAGUCGGGGGUGAAAUCCUGGAGCUCAACUCCAGAACUGCCUUCGAUACUGGCGAUCUUGAGUCCGGGAGAGGUGAGUGGAACUCCGAGUGUAGAGGUGAAAUUCGUAGAUAUUCGCAAGAACACCAGUGGCGAAGGCGGCUCACUGGCCCGGUACUGACGCUAAGGCGCGAAAGCGUGGGGAGCGAACAGG
rnacentral:rRNA from 1 species